AGGACACCUAAAUACACGUCACACAAGUUACAGAGACACCUAAAUACACAUCACACAGGUUACAGAGAGACACCUAAAUACACAUCACACAGGUUACAGAGAGACACCUAAAUACACAUCACACAGGUUACAGAGAGACACCUAAAUACACAUCACACAGGUUACAGAGAGACACCUAAAUACACAUCACACAGGUUACAGAGAGACACCUAAAUACACAUCACACAGGUUACAGAGAGACACCUAAAUACACGUCACACAGGUUACAGAGAGACACCUAAAUACACGUCACACAGGUUACAGAGAGACACCUAAAUACACGUCACACAGGUUACAGAGAGACACCUAAAUACACAUCACACAGGUUACAGAGACACCUAAAUACACGUCACACAGGUUACAGAGAGACACCUAAAUACACGUCACACAGGUUACAGAGAGACACCUAAAUACACAUCACACAGGUUACAGAGAGACACCUAAAUACACAUCACACAGGUUACAGAGAGACACCUAAAUACACGUCACACAGGUUACAGAGAGACACCUAAAUACACAUCACACAGGUUACAGAGAGACACCUAAAUACACGUCACACAGGUUACAGAGAGACACCUAAAUACACAUCACACAGGUUACAGAGACACCUAAAUACACGUCACACAGGUUACAGAGAGACACCUAAAUACACAUCACACAGGUUACAGAGAGACACCUAAAUACACAUCACACAGGUUACAGAGAGACACCUAAAUACACAUCACACAGGUUACAGAGAGACACCUAAAUACACGUCACACAGGUUACAGAGAGACACCUAAAUACACGUCACACUGGUUACAGAGAGACACCUAAAUACACAUCACACAGGUUACAGAGACACCUAAAUACACGUCACACAGGUUACAGAGAGACACCUAAAUACACAUCACACAGGUUACAGAGAGACACCUAAAUACACAUCACACAGGUUACAGAGAGACACCUAAAUACACAUCACACAGGUUACAGAGAGACACCUAAAUACACAUCACACAGGUUACAGAGAGACACCUAAAUACACAUCACACAGGUUACAGAGAGACACCUAAAUACACAUCACACAGGUUACAGAGAGACACCUAAAUACACAUCACACAGGUUACAGAGAGACACCUAAAUACACGUCACACAGGUUACAGAGAGACACCUAAAUACACAUCACACAGGUUACAGAGAGACACCUAAAUACACAUCACACAGGUUACAGAGAGACACCUAAAUACACGUCACACAGGUUACAGAGACACCUAAAUACACGUCACACAGGUUACAGAGAGACACCUAAAUACACAUCACACAGGUUACAGAGAGACACCUAAAUACACGUCACACAGGUUACAGAGACACCUAAAUACACGUCACACAGGUUACAGAGAGACACCUAAAUACACAUCACACAGGUUACAGAGAGACACCUAAAUACACGUCACACAGGUUACAGAGAGACACCUAAAUACACGUCACACAGGUUACAGAGAGACACCUAAAUACACAUCACACAGGUUACAGAGACAACUAAAUACACGUCACACAGGUUACAGAGAGACACCUAAAUACACAUCACACAGGUUACAGAGACACACCUAAAUACACAUCACACAGGUUACAGAGAGACACCUAAAUACACGUCACACAGGUUACAGAGAGACACCUAAAUACACAUCACACAGGUUACAGAGAGACACCUAAAUACACGUCACACAGGUUACAGAGAGACACCUAAAUACACGUCACACAGGUUACAGAGAGACACCUAAAUACACGUCACACAGGUUACAGAGAGACACCUAAAUACACGUCACACAGGUUACAGAGAGACACCUAAAUACACAUCACACAGGUUACAGAGACACACCUAAAUACACAUCACACAGGUUACAGAGAGACACCUAAAUACACGUCACACAGGUUACAGAGAGACACCUAAAUACACGUCACACAGGUUACAGAGACACCUAAAUACACGUCACACAGGUUACAGAGACACACCUAAAUACACGUCACACAGGUUACAGAGAGACACCUAAAUACACGUCACACAGGUUACAGAGAGACACCUAAAUACACGUCACACAGGUUACAGAGAGACACCUAAAUACACGUCACACAGGUUACAGAGACACCUAAAUACACAUCACACAGGUUACAGAGAGACACCUAAAUACACAUCACACAGGUUACAGAGAGACACCUAAAUACACGUCACACAGGUUACAGAGAGACACCUAAAUACACGUCACACAGGUUACAGACACACCUAAAUACACAUCACACAGGUUACAGAGGGACACCUAAAUACACGUCACACAGGUUACAGAGAGACACCUAAAUACACGUCACACAGGUUACAGAGACACCUAAAUACACAUCACACAGGUUACAGAGAGACACCUAAAUACACAUCACACAGGUUACAGAGAGACACCUAAAUACACGUCACACAGGUUACAGAGACACACCUAAAUACACGUCACACAGGUUACAGAGAGACACCUAAAUACACGUCACACAGGUUACAGAGACACCUAAAUACACAUCACACAGGUUACAGAGAGACACCUAAAUACACGUCACACAGGUUACAGAGAGACACCUAAAUACACGUCACACAGGUUACAGAGAGACACCUAAAUACACGUCACACAGGUUACAGAGAGACACCUAAAUACACAUCACACAGGUUACAGAGACACCUAAAUACACGUCACACAGGUUACAGAGACACCUAAAUACACGUCACACAGGUUACAGAGACACCUAAAUACACGUCACACAGGUUACAGAGAGACACCUAAAUACACGUCACACAGGUUACAGAGAGACACCUAAAUACACGUCACACAGGUUACAGAGACACCUAAAUACACGUCACACAGGUUACAGAGAGACACCUAAAUACACGUCACACAGGUUACAGAGACACCUAAAUACACGUCACACAGGUUACAGAGAGACACCUAAAUACACGUCACACAGGUUACAGAGACACCUAAAUACACGUCACACAGGUUACAGAGAGACACCUAAAUACACGUCACACAGGUUACAGAGAGAAACCUAAAUACACGUCACACAGGUUACAGAGAGACACCUAAAUACACGUCACACAGGUUACAGAGAGAAACCUAAAUACACGUCACACAGGUUACAGAGAGACACCUAAAUACACAUCACACAGGUUACAGAGAGAAACCUAAAUACACGUCACACAGGUUACAGAGAGACACCUAAAUACACGUCACACAGGUUACAGAGAGACACCUAAAUACACGUCACACAGGUUACAGAGAGACACCUAAAUACACAUCACACAGGUUACAGAGAGAC